rnacentral:lncRNA from 1 species
UGCAGAUUGAACAAGAAAAACUGGCAUCUAUGAAAAAGCAAGAUGAAGACAAAGAUAAAAGAGAUAAGGAAGAAAAAGAAAGCAGCAGAGAAAAAAGGGAGCGGUCUCGUAGCCCAAGAAGACGCAAAUCCAGAUCUCCUUCCCCUAGAAGACGAUCUUCCCCUGUCAGGAGAGAGAGAAAGCGCAGUCAUUCUCGAUCUCCCCGUCACAGAACCAAGAGCCGGAGUCCUUCCCCUGCUCCAGAAAAGAAGGAAAAAACUCCAGAGCUCCCAGAACCUUCAGUGAAAGUAAAAGAACCUUCAGUACAAGAGGCUACUUCUACUAGUGACAUUCUGAAAGUUCCCAAACCUGAACCUAUACCAGAGCCUAAAGAACCUUCUCCGGAAAAAAAUUCCAAAAAAGAAAAGGAGAAGGAGAAGACCCGACCACGAUCUCGGUCACGCUCCAAAUCAAGAUCCCGGACGCGGUCCCGCUCUCCUUCUCACACUCGACCUAGACGGCGCCAUAGAUCCCGAUCAAGGUG